GUUCCUUAGCUGCCUACUUUCAGACAGAGAGGUGACGGAUAUCGGCUUGAAGCUGCCUGCUCUCCGCCAGGCGUUUGCUACUGUGUUCAGCUGCAUGCUUAAUCAGAACUUCCUGUUUCUGACCGGAAAGAAGAUCGUGAUGCAACUGGCAGCAGCUAACAACCAGGACACAGAUCACGUACGGUUGGCCUACGAGGCGCUGAUCCGGUUCCUGAGGACAUCGUCUAACCAGGAAUCGAUUACAGCAGAGCUCUCCGGGGCCGGG